rnacentral:rRNA from 1 species
UUCCUUGGAAAAGGACAGCUGAGAGGGUGAAACUCCCGUCCGCCUGGUAGAAUGAGUCUUUGUCAACGAGUCGAGUUGUUUGGGAUUGCAGCUCUAAUUCGGUGGUAAAUUCCAUCUAAAGCUAAAUAUUGGUGGGAGACCGAUAGCGUAUAAGUACCGUGAGGGAAAGAUGCAAAGAACUUUGAAAAGAGAGUUAAAGAGUACCUGAAAUUGCUGAAACGGAAGCGAAGGAAACCAGUGUUUGUUGGUUCAUAUUUCCCUGGCCACUUGUGGUUUGGGCG